rnacentral:rRNA from 1 species
GGAGUUAGCCGGUGCUUCUUCUGCGAGUAACGUCACAGCUAGCAGGUAUUAACUACUAACCUUUCCUCCUCGCUGAAAGUGCUUUAUAACCCGAAGGCCUUCUUCACACACGCGGCAUGGCUGCAUCAGGGUUUCCCCCAUUGUGCAAUAUUCCCCACUGCUGCCUCCCGUAGGAGUCUGGGCCGUGUCUCAGUCCCAGUGUGGCUGAUCAUCCUCUCAGACCAGCUAGGGAUCGUUGCCUAGGUGAGCCAUUACCUCACCUACUAGCUAAUCCCACCUGGGCUUAUCCAUCAGCGCAAGGACCGAAGUUCCCCUGCUUUCCCCCGUAGGGCGUAUGCGGUAUUAGCAGUCGUUUCCAACUGUUAUCCCCCACAAAUGGGCAAAUUCCCAGGCAUUACUCACCCGUCCGCCGCUCGUCAUCUUCAAAAGCAAGCUUUUGAAAUGUUACCGCUCGACUUGCAUGUGUUAGGCCUGCCGCCAGCGUUCAAUCUGAGCCAGAAUCAAACUCUGA